rnacentral:rRNA from 1 species
GAUGAACGCUGGCGGCGUGCUUAACACAUGCAAGUCGAACGGGAUCCAUCAGGCUUUGCUUGGUGGUGAGAGUGGCGAACGGGUGAGUAAUGCGUGACCGACCUGCCCCAUACACCGGAAUAGCUCCUGGAAACGGGUGGUAAUGCCGGAUGCUCCGACUCCUCGCAUGGGGUGUCGGGAAAGAUUUCAUCGGUAUGGGAUGGGGUCGCGUCCUAUCAGGUAGUCGGCGGGGUAACGGCCCACCGAGCCUACGACGGGUAGCCGGCCUGAGAGGGCGACCGGCCACAUUGGGACUGAGAUACGGCCCAGACUCCUACGGGAGGCAGCAGUGGGGAAUAUUGCACAAUGGGCGCAAGCCUGAUGCAGCGACGCCGCGUGCGGGAUGACGGCCUUCGGGUUGUAAACCGCUUUUGAUCGGGAGCAAGCCUUCGGGUGAGUGUACCUUUCGAAUAAGCACCGGC